rnacentral:rRNA from 1 species
UCGAGAAUCAUUCGCAAUGGGCGAAAGCCUGACGAUGCGACGCCGUGUGUGUGAUGAAGGCCUUCGGGUCGUAAAGCACUUUCGCUUGGGAACAAGAGAAGCCGGAUAAUACCCGGCUAAUUUGAGGGUACCAGGUAAAGAAGCACCGGCUAACUACGUGCCAGCAGCUGCGGUAAUACGUAGGGUGCAAGCAUUAAUCGGAAUUAUUGGGCGUAUAGGGCGCGUAGGCGGACUUUCAAGUCGGAUGUGAAAUCCUAGGGCUCAACCCUAGAACUGCAUCCGAAACUGGAAGUCUAGAGGGUAGGCGGAGAAAACGGAAUUCCACAAGUAGCGGUGAAAUGCGUAGAUAUGUGGAAGAACACCGGUGGCGAAAGCGGUUUUCUAGCUUAUUCCUGACGCUGAGGCGCGAAAGCAAGGGGAUCAAACAGGAUUAGAUACCCCCGUAGUCC